rnacentral:misc_RNA from 1 species
UGGCAGAAAGGCUCCUUAUAGGGCGUAGACAUCCGCUAAGAACGAAUUUUACAAAAUUCGACCCUUAAGGGGGUAAAAAGGGGGUCGGAAGUUUGUAUGAAAGUCCCAUGUUUUUCAAGUAAGAGACUUGAAAUUUAAAAUGUAUACCUUAUAAAUGAUAAGAAGGUGUUCAAAUAAUGAAUCUUUAGAAAUCAACUCCCUUUUGGGGUUAAAACGGGGGAUGGUAGAUUAACUCACUCAUUACGAAAUCUCCGGAACUAUAACAGCUACAAACUUGAAAUUUAGCAGAUAGGUUCCUUAUAGGGCGUAAACAUUCGCUAAGAACUGAUUUUACGAAACUCGACCCUUAAGAGGGUAAAACGGGGGUUGGAAGUUUGUGUGAAAGUCCCAUGUUUUUGAAGUAAGAGACUUGAAAUUUAAAAUGUAUGCUCUAUAGAUGGUGAGGAGGUGUCCAAAUAAUGCAUCGUAAUCUAUAUAUAUAAAAGAGAAAGGUCACUGACUCACUCAUCACGAGAACCCAAAAACUGCUGGAGGGUCCAUCCAUCCAGGAUGGAUAAAGAUGAAAUUUGGCAGAGAGGUAGAUUAUAGUUAGUAGACGUCCGCUAAGAAUGGAUUUUGCGAUAUUCCACCUCUAAGAGGGUUUAAUUGGGUUUGAUAGUUUGUAUGAAACAUAUACAGCAGCUAUAAGUUCGUCGAUAGGUUAUUUAUACUGCAGCCUGAAAAUAAAACUAAGAAUGUGGUGUAUAGAGAGGUUUUAUAAAAACAACUAUUAAAUAAUACUAAAUUGUGCCUUUUAAAAAGUUACUCAGUGUAAUAAGCAUUUCAAGUGACUGAAAUAAAAAAAAUGCGUUAAACAUCUUAUAGUAAUGCAUAUCUUCAUAACCACGCGGAUGUAGUCGCGGGCAACAGUUAGUGUAUUAUAAAACAAUGCCCCCAAAAGUGUAUGUGAUCGAUUUCCUCAAAAUCUACUGAACGGAUUUUCAUGCGGUUCAAGAGGAAGGUUUACGGAACGGCUAAGACGAUUUUGAUGAGAGUUUCACUGGAAGUUUGCCGGUAAAACUUUGUGACACACUGAUUUCAACGCGGGCGAAGCCGCGGGCACAGCUAGUACUAUAUAAAA